rnacentral:tRNA from 1 species
AAAUAAGAAGCAAAUGCAAUUAGUUUCGACCUAAUGUUAGGUAGAUACACUACCCUUAUUUA